rnacentral:misc_RNA from 1 species
GAUAAUCAAUUAAAAAGUGUUACUUAAAUACUUCGUUUUUCAUGUGAUUAAUUAUUCACAUAUGUCCGAUAACCACCAUCAUUAAAUUACGUUCUAUCUAUUGUCAUAACUUGACAUUUACAAGUACACAGUCCCAUUUAGUCUUAUAACGCGUCACGUGUGUCGUUCACCUAUUAUUUAUUUUAAUUUCACAGUAAUGUAAAGAGGAAGUUCCCAAUAAGUUACGUGUGAUAUUGAUGUUUAAACAACACCAUUUCAGAUGAAAUCAAAGUUAAAUCUGGUAAUAAAGAGGCCAUAUUAUGAACAUAAAUCAUCAAUCAAUAUGGACACACGUGUUUGUUAACAACUUGGAUGCCAAAGUUUAGGAGUUAAUUAAUUUUGAAUUUUUAUUUUUUGUAAACUAAAGACUAAAGUGGAUUACCAAAGAAUAACGUUCUAGUCACACCAGAAAAAUGGUGAGAACCGUUACUUUAUCAUAACAAUUUAACAUUUUACAAAAAAGUCAAUUUUCACAUUCAGACAAAUUUUUUUUUAAAUUUCCAAUUUAUUAUUUACGAUAUAAAGUUCUCAUUUGUUUUUACAUUGACAUUUAUUUCUCUAGUAACAAUUAAAAUAUAAUUAAUAGUAAAAACAAAUUAUUUUUUUCGUAAUUCUAAAGUGACAAUAGACAA